UACGGAGGGUGCAAGCGUUAUCCGGAAUCAUUGGGUUUAAAGGGUCCGUAGGUGGGUCCCUAAGUCAGUGGUGAAAGUCCGAGGCUCAACCUUGGAACUGCCAUUGAUACUGGGGACCUUGAAUCGUUGUGAGGUAAUUGGAAUAUGUGGUGUAGCGGUGAAAUGCAUAGAGAUCACAUAGAACACCGAUUGCGAAGGCAGGUUACCAACAACGCAUUGACACUGAUGGACGAAAGCGUGGGGAGCGAACAGG
rnacentral:rRNA from 1 species